AGGGAUCCCCUUCUUCUUGUGCUCACUGAAGACUUUGCGAUCUCUCUUCCGCUUCCUCGGCGAAGUAACGUUCCGGAGUUAUGUCAAUCACUAAAGAAAACCCAAUAAUUCCACUAUUUCCUCUUCACUGCAACUUUUGGAUUCUCUCAGUUUCAAACUCUAUAUAUCCUUUUGUUCUCUAUCUUUUCCUCUUUACCAAAAUUAUCAAAAUCAAAGUAUCUUGGCAAUCUUCUACACUCCAAGCUGUGAGAUUUCUUUACGAACAGUGGUCGCAAAGUUGAUUCUGUACAGUUAGUCAUUGAUCUGUCUAGCAACAAUGAUCUAUUUGGUUUCGUUUGUAUCUUCCAGAGAAAAAGCAGAGAAUUUUGUCGAGCUAUGAAACCGAAGCUAAACUCAUAGCGUGUAUUCUGAUUCUGUGGCCAUUGAUUUAUUGAGUUGAUAGGAUGGAAUUGAUUCUGAUUCCUUGAGUGAUGAGACACCCACGUCAAGUUUUUAAACUUGAGCACUGAAACUUCCCAUGAAGCAAAAUACACUGGUGCACAGGACAAUAAAUCUUCUUAUAAUGAGGGUGAGCCUCUGCAUAUACGUAACAUUGUUCAUGGCCUUCCCUCACCCACUUCCUCCUUUUUCAGUAUAUGUUAGUAAACAAUGCUCAUGGUCUGCAAUGAUUUGUUAUGGCUUUUAAGUCAAUGGUCAUAUUUGUCUUUAGUUCUCAUUGAUGUUCAGCAUCACUAUACUUACACAUCCACAAUACAGCUGUUUCUGCUAUUUAACAAUCUCGUCAUAUAAGUAGUUUGGGAAAGGCCACGACUCCUUUGUCAUCGAUAUGAUUGCUUGUGGCUCUCUUCAUUACUUUGUGUCGAGUUCUCAGAGCCUCAGGUUAAAUGCUACAUGACUCAGCUAUUAAAAGGCUCGAUCAUUGUCAUUUUACUACUCAUGUUGUAACUCUGUGGUAUCGACCUCCUAAGCUCUUAUUUGGAGCUUCUCAUUACAGAGUUGGGAUUGACUUCGAGAGCACAAGCAGCAUAAUAGGUGCAAUAUACGCACUUUCCAGUAUAAGUAUAAACAAGAUGUUGUACUAGGAAAUUAAGAAGCCUUUGGUCUCAUGCGUUUUCAUUCAAAAGAAGACCACAAUGAGCUACUCUAUUGUCUCGUGGGCGUGUACAGCAUGGUCAAACGGCUCAAAGUUCUCAUGGUCUGGAUGUGAUGAAAUGGGCAGGGGUCGUGGGCUAUUUAUAGAAGACAACAGCCAAUCAGAUUCAGGUUGGUGGCCGCCAGGUGUGUCGCUUCGCAUGGCUCCAGACGCAUGCACGGCGGCACCUCGUGCUCCACAUGGCUGGCUGCAUGUCCAGGACACAUGCAGGACGCCACCACUCCUCUCAGAUGUCAGGCUGCAUGACUGGAACUCAUGCAAGGCGCCACAGCAUCACACACAUGGCUGGCUGCAUGCUUCGGUUGCAUGCGCGGAGACACCUCGUGCUUCGUCGAUCAACCUCGUGCUUCUAUAUGUCAAGCUGCAUGUGCAGCUUCCAUGCACGGCGACACCUUGAGCUUCUGGAGACACUCAGAUUGCUGGACAGUUGACACCACGUUCUGAUCCCUUAGUUCAAGCCACCUUGAGCUUCUAGAUCGAUUUGCGCGAUUUUGGCCCUUCUGGUGAAUUUUCGUCCCGUGAUCAAUCCCAAAUAUUUUUAUGCUCCCGUUCUGAUGAGCUGAAUAUUUUUAAUGAACUCCAAUCUGAACUCUGAUCUUGGCGGUAAAUAUUUUCCAAUCCUUCGGCUUCAUUGAAGACUUGCAUAAUACCAAAAUUAGGGUUUUUGUCUAAUUUCGGGUUUUUCCAUCGUGCUUCGAUCCCGUCAUGCUUGCUUCCCGUCCUGCUUAAUUCCCGUCCUGCUUCCAAUGUCUUCGAAAUAAUAUUCCGCUGAUAUGAAGUUUCGCGGAAAACUUCGUGCUGAAGAAACGUCAUUCUUCCAAAACGCCGAGCUUCUAAACCGUCGUGCUUCCAAAAAUGUGAUGCUUCCAAAACGUCCGUCUGAACAAUCUAAGACAUCUUCUAACUAUGGUCGAGCAACUUAUUCGACUCAUAGUUCACCCACGAUCACUUCUUCGCCCACCUUGUACUUCAAAACUUCUCGAUAGAUCCUUAUCGCCCGCGACUCGACCACCACAAAGAUACUCGACCAUUCUUUUUUUUUUUUUUUUUUAACGGGUUCCUACAGUGUCGUUCGACGUCAGAAGCAGAGAGGUAUCAAGGGAGGAAGAGGAAGCGAGAGAACAAAGGGAAAUGGAGUAUAGACCUCCUAAGCAAGCAAUUUCAAGCAAGGUGUAUGAUUUGGACCUGAAUGGGUUCACGGAGUCACAACUACGGUACGAAAUCAUAACUGUUUGAGAUACUAGAUAUGUGGAUCCUACCUUCAUAUGAUUCGAAGUUUCUGUAGUUUAACUAUGGCUGCACAAGACCAAGAACCAUGUAGCUUCUGAGAAGAAACGGCUUGGGUUGCUUGAAGCUGAGAAGAAGAGGGCACGUGCUUUUGUCUAGCAAGUACGCCACGUUGCCAACUCUGUUUCUAAUCAGCGUGAGAUGGAUAGAAGUAAAAUGAGGGACAAACUUGAAGACAAAUUGCUGAGGGAAAAGAGAAAUAGAUCGGAGUUUCUUUGACAGAGAAGAAGAUAGCGUGAUUCGAUUAGUCUCUACUGCGAUAUGAUGCAGCAAGAUGGUGAUCUUCUCUCUAGAAAGCUGUCAAGGUGUUGGAAGUGCUUUGUGAUUUAAUAAAGUCAGCCUGCUACUCUUAAAGCUGUUAACUCUUUGCUUGACUGCCUUCAAGUUCGCUUAGAAGCUUCUAAAACGUUACUGCUUCUUCUCAACCGUCGAUAAUGGAUAACAUUGAUCAUCUUCUUAGAAGAGUAGCCACCCCCAGAAAAAUGAAGACACCAAGUACUCUAAAGAACAGGAAAGAAAAGAGAGUUACUCCUGGUAGGAGGGUGGCCGUGACAUCUGAGGUUUCCUGUCAGAGUGGUCCUUUCUGCUUUUAUGAUACUCGGUCAUCCAGACGCUGUGUUUAACAGUCAAGGUGAUCAAGAGGCUGCUCUUAAUGACUCAGCGAAGGGUUUUUUGAGGGAGUUUAAGUUAUUGAUAAAGGUUAUUAAAGAGGGUCAUGUUAAGAUGUCUGUUGAGGAAUCAAAGCUUCAGAUGUUGAGAUCUCAGUUGGACUUAUUUGAUAAGGUAUGGUGCGCAUUUUUGAAUUCGUUUGUGCUUUGGAAAUUUAAGGAUACUCGGUUGUUGGGAGAGGAUAAGGUAAGAGCAGCUUGUCAGCUUGAAAUUUCCAUGAUUCAGAAAUGCAAGAUUACUCCAGAAGGAGAUAGACACUGUGCUCACUCAUGACAAGAAAGCAAUUCAGACCCGAAAUACGAAAGGCAUUACUAAGCUUCCCAGAAGGAUACAUUAAUUUUUCAUUAUUGUAAUAGAUUAUUGCCACUGCUCUCCUACUCUGCUCCCUUCGCAAUAUAUCAUCAAUAAUCCAUAGCUGGCCAUAUUAACUUUAAGAUUCUGCAGCUUUUGGUGUGUACAUAGUCAUCACUUUCAUUUCAAGUUACUUUUACUCUCAGAUACAAAAAAAAAUUGUUCUGAGAUCAACAGUAGUAACCAAUAUUUUAAUAAUACAUUAUCUGAAUUGCAUCUUUAUUUCCA